UACGUAGGGGGCAAGCGUUGUCCGGAUUUAUUGGGCGUAAAGAGCUCGUAGGCGGUUUGUCGCGUCGAAUGUGAAAACCCGGGGCUCAACCCCGGGCCUGCAUUCGAUACGGGCAGACUAGAGUUCGGUAGGGGAGUCUGGAAUUCCUGGUGUAGCGGUGAAAUGCGCAGAUAUCAGGAGGAACACCGGUGGCGAAGGCGGGACUCUGGGCCGAUACUGACGCUCAUGCACGAAAGCGUGGGGAGCAAACAGG
rnacentral:rRNA from 1 species